rnacentral:rRNA from 1 species
AACGAACGCUGGCGGCAUGCCUAACACAUGCAAGUCGAACGAGACCUUCGGGUCUAGUGGCGCACGGGUGCGUAACGCGUGGGAACCUGCCCUUAGGUUCGGAAUAACUCCCCGAAAGGGGUGCUAAUACCGGAUAAUGUCUUCGGCCCAAAGAUUUAUCGCCUUUGGGUGGGCCCGCGUUGAAUUAGCUAGUUGGUAGGGUAAAAGCCUACCAAGGCGACGAUCCAUAGCUGGUCUGAGAGGAUGAUCAACCACACUGGGACUGAGACACGGCCCAGACUCCUACGGGAGGCAGCAGUGGGGAAUAUUGGACAAUGGGCGAAAGCCUGAUCCAGCAAUGCCGCGUGAGUGAUGAAGGCCUUAGGGUUGUAAAGCUCUUUUACCCGGGAUGAUAAUGACAGUACCGGGAGAAUAAGCUCCGGCUAACUCCGU